CAGCCGCCGCGGUAAUACCGGCGGCCCGAGUGGCGGUCACUAUUAUUGGGCUUAAAGCGUCCGUAGCCGGGUUGGGAAGUCCUCCGGGAAAUCUGGCCGCUUAACGGUCAGAAUGCCGGAGGAUACUCCCAGCCUAGGGAGCGGGAGAGGCCGCGGGUAUUCCCGGAGUAGGGGUGAAAUCCUAUAAUCCCGGGAGGACCACCUGUGGCGAAGGCGCUCGGCUGGAACGCGUCCGACGGUGAGGGACGAAGGCCAGGGGAGCAAACCGGAUUAGAUACCCGGGUAGUCCUGGCUGUAAACGAUGCGGACUUUGUGUCGGACAAGCUAUGAGCUUGUCCGGUGCCGGAGGGAAACCGUUAAGUCCGCCGCCUGGGGAGUACGGCCGCAAGGCUGAAACUUAAAGGAAUUGGCGGG
rnacentral:rRNA from 1 species